rnacentral:rRNA from 1 species
UACGUAGGGUGCGAGCGUUUGUCCGGAUUUAUUGGGCGUAAAGGGCUCGUAGGCGGCGUGUCGCGUCGGGAGUGAAAGACCGGGGCUUAACCCCGGUUCUGCUUCCGGUACGGGCAUGCUGGAGUGUGGCAGGGAGACUGGAAGUUCCUGGGUGUAGCGGUGGAAUGCGCAGAUAUCAGGAGGAACACCGGUGGCGAAGGCGGGUCUCUGGGCCAUUACUGACGCUGGUGGCGCGAAAGCUAGGGGAGCAAACGGG